rnacentral:rRNA from 1 species
GGUGAACGCUGGUGGCAGGCCUAACACAUGCAAGUCGAACGCUGUAGCAAUACAGAGUGGCAGACGGGUGAGUAAUGCGUGGGAACCUUCCCAGUGGUACGGAAUAGCUCAGGGAAACUUGAGGUAAUACCGUAUAAGCCCCUAGGGGGAAAGAUUUAUCGCCAUUGGAUGGGCCCGCGUCGGAUUAGCUAGUUGGUGAGGUAAUGGCUCACCAAGGCAACGAUCCGUAGCUGGUUUGAGUGAAUGACCAGCCACACUGGGACUGAGACACGGCCCAGACUCCUACGGGAGGCAGCAGUGGGGAAUAUUGGACAAUGGGCGCAAGCCUGAUCCAGCCAUGCCGCGUGAGUGACGAAGGCCUUAGGGUUGUAAAGCUCUUUUGCCGGGGACGAUAAUGACGGUACCCGGAGAAUAAGUCCCGGCUAACUUCGUGCCAGCCGCCGCAGUAA